GCAACAUCUCCUUCCCAACCAUGUCCGCUUCAUCGUCAUCUGUAAGGUUAGGAUGGGAUCUUGCCCCUCGUUCCUUGUACAUAGUGCGGCGGGCAGGUCUACACCUGGAUUGCUCGAUCUGGAGUGAACGGUGGGCAUCGCUUCUACAAGUGUGUCAACAAGGAUAGGUGUGGAUACAUGAUAUCUUGUGAUUGCAGAUUGUCCAGUUGUCCUCGUGCCCAGCUGCUGGCUAACCAGCUGGUUGCAUAUUGCCAAGUUGUCCCCGCGCAUCUCCCGCUGGCAGCUUACUUGCACCGACGAGUUAUACCUGGUGAACCAAUCGAGCAAUGAAGGCGGGGAGGGGAGAUGGCGACAUAUGUCCGAGCGGAGCAGCUGCCAUGGAAGGGGAAGGAUCGGGCGUACCAGGCAGUGCAUGGUUGUUAAGACAGUCUUAUCUUAAGUCUUGCACGUAAUUUAAAGAUGACAAAAGGAAAAGUCUACAAUGGGUCAUCUCUUAGACUUAUCUUCAAUAACUAGUCAUUCCUAAAAAUGUGAUGAGACAUAUUGUGCUAAGAGAUCAUCUCUUUGUCUUCUCA